rnacentral:lncRNA from 1 species
UUUUUUCCCGAAAAGAAUUAGCAACUUAAAACAUAUAUAUGUAAAGGAAAAGAAAUCUACACCAAAACAUUGAAAGAAACACACACACACACACACAUAGCAUUAUUAUAUAUAUAUAUAUAUUACCAUGAGCUGAUGCAAAGAAAAAAAGGAAUGUGAAGAAAAGAGAGAGAAAAUUGGCCAUGGAUAUAUUGAUGAAUUAUAAGAUCUGAACUUGUGAAGAAAUAUGUGAGUGUUUGACCAAAUGCUACUAGCUUUGCAUCUAAUUGGAUAUUGAAGCAAAAAUGAAUUGUACAAUGAUAUAUUUUUCAUGGGAUUUUAGAGUUGACUUAUGUAUGUGUGUAUGUAUAUAUAGGUGAGGUU